ACAAGACAGGGGCCAAACAUGGAAGGUGCCACAGUCCACUGCAAGACCACUGACUUAUGCUGAGGACCAAAUGUGGGAAAUUCCUCCUGGCUCCCAUGAAGACAUCACUUCUGGUUCCACCUCCCAAAAAGCCACAGCCCAAUGACCUAAUUUCCAGUUCCUGAUCCAAGAUCCCUCCUCUUCCUGUCGUACAGCUAUAUAUCCACCAUGUGACGUUCUGUUUUGGACUCUUGUCUGUCAUCUGAUGGGAAGACCACCCGAAGCCAACGAGGUUACACUUCCGUCUCCAGACCACACCCUCUUACAGACUUCAUUUCCACCUGUCCCCGCUGGACCCUCCUCUUCUUUCCCACAACCUAU